UACGAAGGGGGCUAGCGUUGCUCGGAAUCACUGGGCGUAAAGGGUGCGUAGGCGGUGCGGCAAGUUGGGAGUGAAAUCUCUGGGCUUAACCCAGAGGCUGCUUCCAAAACUGCUGUGCUUGAGUGUGGGAGAGGCGCGUGGAAUUGCAGGUGUAGCGGUGAAAUGCGUAGAUAUCUGCAGGAACACCCGUGGCGAAAGCGGCGCGCUGGACCACUACUGACGCUGAGGAACGAAAGCUAGGGGAGCAAACAGG
rnacentral:rRNA from 1 species